UUACAAAGCACUUUGGCUAUGUUUAUUUACAUUGUUUCCACUGUUACAAUGACAACACAUACAUGUUUAAGUGUGGUUUAACAAAAAUUCUUGAUGCUGCUGUUAGGGAGAAAUCAGGCCAAGCCUUAGCUUCCAAAGGCUGAUGGGCUUUUUCUUUUCCAGAAUUCUUAUCUUAAUGCAUUAGUAGUGUGCCUUCAUGAUAUUGCUUACUUGUAAAUAUAAUCCUAUGUCAAGGAUUUGGAGACCAAAAGAAGUAGAGCACCAGUUUUUGUAAACUUUACACAUAUUUCUUGGCCUUUAUACUAUUUCUCUAAUAGAGUUCACAAAUGGAAGGUCCUGACAUAAAAGUGCCCUACAAAUAUGUGUGGUUGGGCCUGUGUGGUGUUGCCUUUCACUUAAAAAUUUUUUUUAAUUAUCCUCUAAGAUUUAAAAGUUAGGGAAUUUCAUUUUCGACUUCCAUAUCUUCUUGAAAAAUGCAGCAAGCUCACUAACAAUAGACCCAAAUUCCCACAGGGCAGCAAUGACCUCUGGCUGGCUGGCCCUUGCUGCUGGCUCACCUCUCACCCCUCCUGACCUCCACAGAUCCAAGCCAAAGUUGGUUGCAGUCCAUCACAUGACUCACGCAGUAGUUUGUCUCUCAUCUUCCCACCUCCCUCACAUGGCUUGACCAGGCAGCUUCCUGGAGGUAUCUGAAUUUGCAGCUCCUAUCCUUAAUUGUAAACAUAAUAAUAGUGAACCCUUCCAUAGUACUUAGUGGGCCAGACACUGUCCUAUGUCUUUAACAUGCAUCAGCUUAUUUAGUCUUCAGAAUAACCCGAGACAGUGGACACUAUCAGCAUCCCCAUUUUAGGGACUAGGAAAUUGAGACAUCAAGGAGUCUAGAACUCACCCAUGGCAACACACAUUUCAUCUGCAGGGGUAUCUGGCUCAUGAGCAGGCCCAGUCUGGAACCUGCAGACCCAACCAUUAGAAUUUAUUUCCAGGGCGGCCCCGGUGGCUCAGGGGUUUAGCGCCGCCUUUAGCCCGGGGCAUGAUCCUGGAGACCUGGGAUGAGUCCCAGGUCAGGCUCCCUGCAUGGAACCUGCUUCUCCCUCUGCCUCUCUCUCUCUCUCUCUCUCUCUCUCUCUCUCUCAGUCUCUCAUGAAUAAAUAAAUAAAAUCUUUAAAAAAAAAAAAGAAUUUAUUUCCAUAUGUAUUGGAAGGCUCUUCACAAGUACAUCAACAGUUUUAAAUUCUGUCCAUUGCAUCUAGAAGACAGUGUCUAGUGAGUGCUAAUUUCUUCUCUGAAACACCUAGGAAUCAAAAUUUUGGGUCCAGAUCUGACCUAAGUAGCCUUUUAAGUCUAUGGCACUUGAUGAGACAAACUGCCCCUUCUCUAAAGCUUUUUGGCUGUCAGGAACUGCUAUCACAAAAUGACACAGGGACGGUUACACGUAUAAAGGCCCCUCUGGAGCUGUGCUGAUUGCCUGCACAAUGCAGUGCUCCCAGGUUCAAGAAUCUGUCUGACUACUUUUCAGAGUAAGACUUAUUUUGGCAUUUGCAAGCGUAUAAAAUAAGCAAAAAUGCUUAAUGAAAAUUACCAUAAAGAUGUAUGUCAAAUACGUAUGUCUUACUCUGAACAACUACCAACCACUCAUUUCAACUUUUCAUUACCAAGCACAAUUCCUCAUUUCAUGAUCAUGAUGAAAAAAAUAUACACUGCCGAUGUUAUCUCGUAUCUCAAAAUUCCAAGAAUCUCAGGCUAUUUCCCUCUGCUUAAGAUUGAACUUGGAGCAGUGAAAGAAGUUCUCUCUUCCAUGGACAUCACAUACCCCACAAAAACUUUACCAUGGAGUGGGGAGCCUUUCAAAUCAGCAUGUCCUUUCAGCAUUUUUCCUUCUCUUUCGAUGUAAGGCUUGAAAAUUAUGAUAAGAGGAGAUCUGCAUUUCUCACGUAUUAUUUAAGUCAAUCCAGAUGUCAGCUCGAUGAUACAGGUUUAUUACGCCCAUAUUAAGACAGGGGAGUGGUAUUUGAAUCCAGGUCCAUCUGAUACCUGUAUUCUGAUGCACUCCACCGUCUCAGUCUCCAGCCCGUGAUCGGCCCUAAAUGCUGGUUAGGUCACUGCUGCAGAAGGCCCUGCCGAGCUCUGGAGGGUCUGCUCUGGAGGGGCCUUCGUCCAGCGCCGCUCACCUGAUGCCCGCGCAGGACAAAGUCCAUCACGAACAGAACAAAUGCAACCUGCCAGCCCGAACUAACUCGGAGUAUAGCACAUUGCAGAGCUGUAUUGGUUCUGUCUUGUUUUUUAGCCGGGGCAGACACAUGCGGGCCGACUUAGGGGCCAGAUGUUGGAGGAGACAGCGAAGGAAGGGAACCGGCGGAGAACCUACGCGGUAAAAUUCUAGUUCUGGAAGGCGCUGGAAGAGGAACCAAUUAACUCAAUAUGCUCCCUACUGAAUGUCAUUAAAAAUACAAUUUGAACUACUGGUCUUCAUCUGAAAACUGAAACAUCCAUCUGAGAGCAUUUAAGACCUCUUAUAAUUCCUUAUUAUUACUAUAAACUGAGUCAAACAAAAAUUUGCUGUUUUCAAAAAUAAAAAUGACCUACAAAAUAAACUUACAGAAGAACACAUGGUGACAUCUCUUUUUAAUUUAUACGGAAUCUGAAUAUUUUGAUAACUUGAAUUUCCACAAGGAAACAAACAAUACUAGGAAAUCCUGAACAGUGUCCCUCGUUUAAAAACCUCAAAUUAGGGGCACCUGGGUGGCUCAGUUGGUUAAGUGUCUGCCUUCAGCUCAGGUCAUGAUCCCAGGGUUCUGGGAUGGAGCACCAUGUCAGGCUCCCCACUUGUGAAGAGCCUGCUUCCCGCUCCCCUUCCUGUUCA